GACGAACGCUGGCGGCGUGCCUAACACAUGCAAGUCGAACGGGGUAAUUCCUUCGGGGAUUACUUAGUGGCGAACGGGUGAGUAACGCGUGAGAAACCUGCCUUUCAGUGGGGGACAACAGUUGGAAACGACUGCUAAUACCGCAUAACACUUUAGUACCGCAUGGUACAGAAGUCAAAGCUUAAUGUGCUGAGAGAUGGUCUCGCGUCUGAUUAGCUAGAUGGCGGGGUAACGGCCCACCAUGGCGACGAUCAGUAGCCGGUCUGAGAGGAUGAACGGCCACAUUGGGACUGAGAUACGGCCCAGACUCCUACGGGAGGCAGCAGUGGGGAAUAUUGGGCAAUGGGGGAAACCCUGACCCAGCAACGCCGCGUGAAGGAAGAA
rnacentral:rRNA from 1 species